rnacentral:rRNA from 1 species
GACGAACGCUGGCGGCGUGCCUAAUACAUGCAAGUUGAGCGCUGAAGGUUGGUACUUGUGCCCACUGGAUGAGCAGCGAACGGGUGAGUAACGCGUGGGGAAUCUGCCUUUGAGCGGGGGACAACAUUGGGAAACGAAUGCUAAUACCGCAUAAAAACUUUAAACACAAGAUUUAAGUGUGAAAGAUGCAAUUGCAUCACUCAAAGAUGAUCCCGCGUUGUAUUAGCUAGUUGGUGAGGUAAAGGCUCACCAAGGCGAUGAUACAUAGCCGACCUGAGAGGGUGGUCGGCCACAUUGGGACUGAGACCCGGCCCAAACUCCUACGGGAGGCAGCCGUAGGGAAUCUUCGGCAAUGGACGAAAGUCUUACCGAGCAACGCCGCGUGGGUGAAGAAGGGUUUCGGAUCGUAAAACUCUGUUGGUAGAGAAGAACGUUGGUGAGAGUGGAAAGCUCAUCAAGUGACGGUAACUACCCAGAAAGGGACGGCUAACUACGUG